CUUAUAACAAUUAUAAUUAUCCCCUAAUUGAUGUCCCUAACUCUGAGGACAAACUUAGUUGGGAGAGGGGACGUUGUCUUCUAGAAUUACUUCCAGUUGUCAUGUUGGCGAUGUUCUUUCUAAGAGAUCCUGUGAAAGUAAAAUGACGGUUAAGUUUCAAGAUUAUUGUCUGGUAUAAUUGCAAAUAGUGCCUGAGUAUUCAGCGGGGUUUUUCUGAUGAUCCUAUUGGGAGUUUUGGUAAAAAGGUGCUCCAUUUCAGCUAACCAAGUUGGAACCAUCUUGAGCAACUGGUACCUAAAACAGGUCUUAUAGCAGCACUAUCAGUAUCAUGACGUCAUAUCAACCAGGUGGAGUCGUUGUUGUGGGGCCCCAUCUUCUUUCUUCAGAUUACUGAAGGAAAAUUCACUGUUCAAUGUGGAAAACUUAAACAUUAUUUAUACAGACCUAUGUUCAAUAAAAGGUAUGAUAGAGUCAAAAAUAGGUAUGAAGAAAAGUAAAUUUUUUUCUAAAUCCUUUUUUCUUCUGGCCCAUACCAGAUAGUUCCUGACAUGAGACAGAAACUCUGAAUUUUUCCUUUGACAACAUGCUUGGAUCUAGAGGACAGAGAGGUUGUCCAACUCUAAAACCAGAUUUGAUUUUUCAAGCAAGUCAUGACUAUUAUUAUAGGGCUCCUGCCCUUGUGAUGACCUCACCAGAGGCCAAGUUGAUGCUUCACAGAGGGGUUCUUCAUGCUCCAGAAAUAUGAGUUAAUAAACCUGAUUUCCUUUUA